UACGUAGGGUGCGAGCGUUAAUCGGAAUUACUGGGCGUAAAGCGUGCGCAGGCGGUUUCUUAAGCCAGACGUGAAAUCCCCGGGCUUAACCUGGGAACUGCGUUUGGAACUGGGAGACUAGAGUGUGUCAGAGGGAGGUGGAAUUCCGCGUGUAGCAGUGAAAUGCGUAGAUAUGCGGAGGAACACCGAUGGCGAAGGCAGCCUCCUGGGAUAACACUGACGCUCAUGCACGAAAGCGUGGGGAGCAAACAGGAUUAGAAACCCUGGUAGUCC
rnacentral:rRNA from 1 species